UACGUAGGCAGCAAGCGUUGUUCGGAAUUACUGGGCGUAAAGAGUGUGUAGGCGGUGCUCUAAGUUCGGUGUGAAAUCUCCCGGCUCAACUGGGAGGGUGCGCUGAAAACUGGGGGUGCUCGAGGGUGGGAGAGGUAAGCGGAAUUCCUGGUGUAGCGGUGAAAUGCGUAGAUAUCAGGAGGAACACCUGUGGUGUAGACAGCUUACUGGACCACUUCUGACGCUGAGACACGAAAGCGUGGGUAGCAAACAGG
rnacentral:rRNA from 1 species